UAGAGUUUGAUCCUGGCUCAGGAUGAACGCUGGCGGUCUGCUUAACACAUGCAAGUCGAACGCAACCUUCGGGUUGAGUGGCGGACGGGUGAGUAACGCGUGAGAAUCUGCCUUGGGGUCGGGGACAACCACUGGAAACGGUGGCUAAUACCGGAUAAGCCUUUGGGUAAAAAAUUUAUUGCCCCAAGAGGAGCUCGCGUCUGAUUAGCUAGUUGGUGAGGUAAAAGCUCACCAAGGCAGCGAUCAGUAGCUGGUCUGAGAGGACGAUCAGCCACACUGGGACUGAGACACGGCCCAGACUCCUACGGGAGGCAGCAGUGGGGAAUUUUCCGCAAUGGGCGAAAGCCUGACGGAGCAAGACCGCGUGAGGGAGGAAGGCUCUUGGGUUGUAAACCUCUUUUCUCAGGGAAGAAGCUCUGACGGUACCUGAGGAAUCAGCCUCGGCUAACUCCGUGCCAGCAGCCGCGGUAAUACGGAGGAGGCAAGCGUUAUCCGGAAUUAUUGGGCGUAAAGCGUCCGCAGGUGGCGAUUCAAGUCUGCUGUCAAAGCACGGGGCUUAACUCCGUUAAGGCAGUGGAAACUGAAUAGCUAGAGUGCCGUAGGGGUAGAGGGAAUUCCCGGUGUAGCGGUGAAAUGCGUAGAGAUCGGGAAGAACAUCGGUGGCGAAAGCGCUCUACUGGACGGCAACUGACACUCAGGGACGAAAGCUAGGGGAGCGAAUGGGAUUAGAUACCCCAGUAGUCCUAGCUGUAAACGAUGGAUACUAUGUGUAGCUUGUAUCGACCCGAGCUGUGCCGAAGCUAACGCGUUAAGUAUCCCGCCUGGGGAGUACGCACGCAAGUGUGAAACUCAAAGGAA
rnacentral:rRNA from 1 species